rnacentral:lncRNA from 1 species
GUACACCACCUCCUCUCCCACCUUAUAAAAGCCACAACCAUCCCUCUUCUUCUUCAUCGUAUUCUCUCUGUUUUCCCUUCAUUCUACGUAUACCCAUAAACCUUCGAGCAACGUUCUCAGUUUUUGAACACCCCUCUAGAUCUCCAACAAUGGCUGUCCAACACCAAGUUCGCUAUAUGAUCACCUUUGUCUUGUUCCUUCUAAUUAUAUUCCAACAAUCCGCUGCAAGGCCUAUAGGUGGUUUCCAGGCUCCGAAAGAAAGCAUCCUUGCUUUGCCACUGGGGAGGCCUUUUGGGUAUAAUCCUCCCCGAGCCCGGCCAUGUGACAUGGCAUCAAAGGUGACGACCAAGAGCUCAGGAUCGAAGCAGAAGCUUGUGGAGAGGUACGGUCCGCUGUUGUUCCAUGCUCUUCCUAAAGGAAGUCCCGUACCACCCUCUGGUCCGAAUAAGGGAGGCCAUUAACGAGAACAAGAAUUAAGUGGAGGACUAUUGGCGGCUUUUGGAUAGUAUUUGCAUACACAGUCAUAUACACCUCAUUUUCCUUUUUCUUAAUUUGUUUUCCUUUCAAAAACAUGGAAAUAUUAGGAUUACAAGAAGAUUGGAUGCGUUAAUAUAUUCUCUCUCUUUUUUCUUUUUUCUUUUUGUUUUCAGAAUGUAUGUUUUCGAAUUAUUCAAGGAGAAUAUAAUAAAGCACUAGUUGUCAUAAA